GAGAGCCGAGGUAGACCACCUCGUCGAUAGGCCAGAGAUGUAAGCGUGGUAACACGUUCAGUUGACUGGUACUAAUUGCUCGAUAGGCUUGAUUUGAUCCAG
rnacentral:rRNA from 1 species